rnacentral:misc_RNA from 1 species
AAAACUACUUCCCUCCACGUUAUCUUAGGCUUCCCCUUUCCCAUCUCACUCUUUCCCCAAUUAACUUGUCACACUUUCAUACCGGUAGUUUGUGUUCUAAGAGGAGUUUGAACAUGAUGAACCUGUAGGCUUGAUUGCAUGAUACAUUAUUUACCUGUCACUUGCAGGAAGGCCUGUGAGAUGGAUGGCGCGUACGUUUGAAAGGGGGUACGUCCAAGCAAGGAAAAAAAAAUUAAACGAAAGCAGUUGCCAGCCCGAGUUGCCAUGCAAGAAGACAAUAGCAGCUUGAAUAUGGAAGGGUAAAACAGUUCAACUAAUGGGUUAUUUCUUUCCCAUGGAAUGCCUAGGAGGAUCAUCUUAUUAAUUUAUGACAGGGAAACUAGAUUCCCAUGCAUGAGGAAAAGGGAGACCAAUAUCUACCAAUAAAAGUUGACCCCACAUUUCCCUUUUUAAAUUCAAUUGAACACUAACCAGAUAUAGAGAUCUUUACUUGUACAUUAGAUAGAUACAACCGCAGUAAGUUCUCCAUUUAUCAUGAAGCUAGAAAAGAGAUGUUCUAGAGAUGCUGCCUGAGUUCCUACAAGCAAAAUUUAACCCCAGCACUUCAUAUCUCUUAGCAAAGCUAGCAAUCAAAAGUUGUGGUUCAAAGUCAUGUUGAUAGCAGGCCUAUCAUGUUUGACAUGCACAGGUCAGCAUGAAUGCUUCCUUUGUAGUAGAGUUAUGCAGCUCAAGGUGACCUUACAAUAUUACAAACAUCAGAG